GACGAACGCUGGCGGCGUGCCUAAUACAUGCAAGUAGAACGCUGAAGGAGGAGCUUGCUUCUCUGGAUGAGUUGCGAACGGGUGAGUAACGCGUAGGUAACCUGCCUGGUAGCGGGGGAUAACUAUUGGAAACGAUAGCUAAUACCGCAUAAGAGUAGAUGUUGCAUGACAUUUGCUUAAAAGGUGCAAUUGCAUCACUACCAGAUGGACCUGCGUUGUAUUAGCUAGUUGGUGGGGUAACGGCUCACCAAGGCGACGAUACAUAGCCGACCUGAGAGGGUGAUCUGCCACACUGGGACUGAGACACGGCCCAGACUCCUACGGGAGGCAGCAGUAGGGAAUCUUCGGCAAUGGACGGAAGUCUGACCGAGCAACGCCGCGUGAGUGAAGAAGGUUUUCGGAUCGUAAAGCUCUGUUGUAAGAGAAGAACGAGUGUGAGAGUGGAAAGUUCACACUGUGACGGUAUCUUACCAGAAAGGGACGGCUAACUACGUG
rnacentral:rRNA from 1 species